GGGGUGAUCUACCCAUGGCCAGGUUGAAGCACGUGUAAGAGCGUGUGGAGGACCGCACCCGCCUCAGUUGAAAAUGGGGGGGAUGAGCUGUGGGUAGGGGUGAAAGGCCAAUCAAACCCCGUGAUAGCUGGUUCUCCCCGAAAUGCAUUUAGGUGCAGCGUUGCGUGUUUCUUGCCGGAGGUAGAGCACUGGAUGGUCUAGGGGGCCCACAAGCUUACCGAAAUCAGCCAAACUCCGAAUGCCGGUAAGUUAGAGCGUGGCAGUGAGACUGUGGGGGAUAAGCUUCAUAGUCGAGAGGGAAACAGCCCAGAUCAUCAGCUAAGGCCCCUAAGAGGUGACUAAGUGGAAAAGGAUGUGGAGUUGCGUUGACAACCAGGAGGUUGGCUUGGAAGCAGCCAUCCUUGAAAGAGUGCGUAAUAGCUCACUGGUCAAGUGAUUCUGCGCCGAUAAUGUAGCGGGGCUCAAGUACACCGCCGAAGUUGUGGCAAUCAGUCUUUGUGGCUGGUUGGGUAGGGGAGCGUCCUGCACGAGGUGAAGCUGCCACGGGAGUGUGUGGUGGAUUGUGUGGGAGUGAGAAUGCAGGCAUGAGUAGCGAAUCACGGGUGAGAAACCCGUGCGCCGGAUGAUCAAGGGUUCCAGGGUCAAGUUAAUCUGCCCUGGGUUAGUCGGGGCCUAAGGCGAGGCCGACAGGCGUAGUCGAUGGAGAACGGGUUGAUAUUCCCGUACCAGUGAAGGACCGUCCAUACUGAUAUUGUGAUGCUAACCAUGCCGAUCACGGUGUCAUGAAGUUUUUCUUUGUGGUGUUGUGGGGUGUGUGGGACCCAAGCUUUGGAGGUAAGCGUGUUAACAGGUGUGACGCAGGAAGGUAGCCAAGCCACGCGGUGGUUGUCGUGGUCUAAGCGUGUAGGAUGACUGGUUGUUAAAUGCGCCGGUUGUGUGUCUGAGACGUGAUGGGACCCCUUGUUUGUGGGGGAUUUGGUGAUCCUAUGCUGCCGAGAAAAGCAUCGGCGUGAGGUUUUAGCUGCCCGUACCCGAAACCGACACAGGUGAUCAGGUAGAGAAUACUAAGGCGAUCGAGAGAAUCAUGGUUAAGGAACUCGGCAAAAUGCCCCCGUAACUUCGGGAGAAGGGGGGCCUGAGCUUUGAAGCCCCUUCGCGGGCUAGGAGCAAGGGUCGCAGAGAACAGGGGGGAGCGACUGUUUACUAAAAACACAGGUCCGUGCGAAGCCGUAAGGCGAUGUAUACGGACUGACGCCUGCCCGGUGCUGGAAGGUUAAGAGGAACCAUCAACCCCCUCGGGGGUGAAGUGGUGAAUUUAAGCCCCAGUAAACGGCGGUGGUAACUAUAACCAUCCUAAGGUAGCGAAAUUCCUUGUCGGGUAAGUUCCGACCUGCACGAAUGGAGUAACGAUUUGGGCGCUGUCUCCACCACGAACCCGGUGAAAUUGCAUUACGAGUAAAGAUGCUCGUUACGCGCAGCAGGACGGAAAGACCCCGGGACCUUUACUACAGUUUGGUAUUGGUGAUCGGUGUGACUUGUGUAGGAUAGGUGGGAGACUUUGAAACCGGGACGCCAGUUCCGGUGGAGUCGUCGUUGAAAUACCACUCUGGUCAUUCUGGUUAUCUAACCUAGGACCGUUAUCCGGUUCAGGGACAGUGCCUGAUGGGUAGUUUGACUGGGGCGGUCGCCUCCUAAAAGGUAACGGAGGCGCCCAAAGGUUCCCUCAGCCUGGUUGGCAAUCAGGUUUCGAGUGUAAGUGCACAAGGGAGCUUGACUGUGAGACCGACGGGUCGAGCAGGGACGAAAGUCGGGACUAGUGAUCUUCUGGUAGCGAAUGGAAGCGCCAGGACUCAACGGAUAAAAGGUACCCCGGGGAUAACAGGCUGAUCUUGCCCGAGCGUCCAUAGCGACGGCAUGGUUUGGCACCUCGAUGUCGGCUCGUCGCAUCCUGGGGCUGGAGUCGGUCCCAAGGGUUGGGCUGUUCGCCCAUUAAAGCGGCACGCGAGCUGGGUUUAGAACGUCGUGAGACAGUUCGGUCCCUAUCCGCUGCGCGCGUAGGAGUCUUGAGAAGGGCUGUCCUUAGUACGAGAGGACCGGGACGGACCAACCUCUGGUGUGCCAGUUGUUCCGCCAGGAGCACGGCUGGUUGGCUACGUUGGGAAGUGAUAACCGCUGAAAGCAUCUAAGCGGGAAGCACGCUUCAAGAUGAGGACUCCCACACCGUCAAGGUGGUAAGGCCCCCCGCAGACCACGGGGUUGAUAGGUCGGACGUGGAAGCACAGUAAUGUGUGAAGCUGACCGAUACUAAUAGGCCGAGGGCUUGCCACA
rnacentral:rRNA from 1 species